AUAAAUACAGAGAAAAUACACCCGUAGUUGAUAAAUUCCAUAACAUAGAUGAAGCGAGUCAACGUAAAACCUUCAUUGAUUUAACAAUAUUUAUAGACUGCAUCUAAGAUUAUUUUCUUGUGAUCGACAGAACCCUUCCAUGCAAUCUGGUAUUUUCAUUUUCAGCAUUCAGGGAGUGUUCAAGUGUUUGACAUGCAAUUAACCGUACAGAAGAGCAGGGAACAGCAUCCAGAGUGAAGAAAGGGGGUAAUGGUGAACAGAAAUAGAAGCUCAUUUGUUUUCAAGCUGGAAAGUGGAAAAAGGAAAACACACCAUUCACACCUGGGUGUGGGGCCUUCUCAACAGGAUUUUACCAUAUAUGUUUUGAGUCGACUGAUAAAAUACAAUUUCAUAUCAUCCAAUCAACAUUUCUGCUACUGAAAGGGUAAUUUCUGCCAUGGGGAACGUGUUCCCAGAAUCUACUUCCGGCCUGGUAUUUAGGGACCAGAGAUCGAGUUGGGCUCGUGCUACAGGUAACUCUAAUUUACAGGUAGUUAGAUAAAAGUGAAAGUAAUGGCGCUCAUUUGGGACACCUACUGCUAAAGGUUGGGGGCCUCCGCCAGGAAGAGGAACUUCCAAGCUGCUUGUCUGGUUUUAUUAAAAAAUAGUUGUCAAACCCCCGAAGGACAUCUUUCCUUCCUUUUGUCAAAAUGAGGCUGGAUUCUUUUGUGAUCAGCGCUCUACUUGUGUCUCUGGAGUUGGCUGUUGUUUAAUUAUGUAUCACCUAAAUAUUAUCUUGACAGCAUAAAUAAUAUAUAGGCAAUCGGUCUGGGAUGUUUGUAAAGCCUGGAAAGACAAUAUUGAUUAGCAUUUCCUAGACAUGACGGAGUCUGCAUGGUUCAGGGCUAGGGAACAGAGCACCCGUUUUAUUACUUGAUGAAUUCCAGAAGAGGAAUUGGCUUCCUUCUCUCUGCUUUCUUGCUGGACUCCAGUAUAUGUAUGUACGUGCGUGUGGGUCUGUGUGUGUGUGUGUGUAUCACUAUAUAUAUAUAUAUCUUGAUUAUAAACAGGUACGUUUAUUGAAAAAACUUAGAAAACAUGAAAAGUCACAUGAAGAAAUUAAGACCACCCAUAGGAAAAUAAAUAAAUAAAUAAAACUACCCA
rnacentral:lncRNA from 12 species